ensembl:lncRNA
AGAGAGAGAGAGAGAGAGAGAGAGAGAGAGAGAGAGAGAGAGAGAGAAACCCCGAUUCCCGAAGGCGAUUGGUCGCGGGAGGAGGGGCGGGCCGGAGGAGCGAGUCCCGCCGCGGGGCCUGCAGGAAUCGCUGGCUCCGGCUGCCACCUAGCGGACGGGAGCCGCGCCUGGGAGGCGCACAGCCGGGUCCCUCCUCCCCUCCCUGCAGGCAGCCUGUGCCUUUUCUCCAAACGGAGACAGCACUUUGAAAAUUCUUUCAAUGGAUUUUUUUCCUUGAAAGAUCGUACUGGGGGAAAAUGAUACUUCUAUUAGUUACAUAUUCUCCAAUCGCACACUCGCACCCCCCUCGUUUUGAGAUCGCUCCCCUAGGCAGGCUCAGGCGGGCGCGGAGCGGCGCGGAGUGACAAAGCCGCCACCGCCGCCGCCGGGGGUGGGAGCCACGCUCGCCCGCCCGCCCCUCGACUCGGGAGAGCGUAAAAGUUUGUCUCAGCUCCAGCAUCCCCAGCCUCAACAUGCCCUCAGGUAAAGGUGGGAGUAAAUGGCCACGCUGUAUUGACAGAGGUAGGGUUUGUUUUUUAAUACUACUCCUUCUCACUUUAAAUUUCACCAGGGAGGGGUUUGGGAAGCGCUGCGUGUUUGGGGUGCGUUUUGCGCUUCCCGGUCUCUCCAGCCUGCAAGUCGGGAGUCGGCGACCGCUUAGUGACGAGCGACGAUUUUAAAGAGAAUAAAGGCUUUUCCGUGCCUGCCCCACAGCCCCUCCAGCUCGAAUAAUGGAGAGGCAGUCAAUGCACUCUGCAAGCGGCGGCCCAUUGUACGCAGCUGAUGGAGAGGAAGCGACUGGGGCCGGCAGGGGCUCCUUGCUCUCACCCCUCUCCCCAAAUAAACGCGCUCACCUCUCCUGGUCAGUUAAAAGGUGAAACGAACAUGAUUAAAAGACCAAAAAAAAAAAAAAAAAAAAGGAAAAGAACAAGAACAAGCUUUCUAUAUACAAAUUCUAAAUUUUACUCCCAAUACGGUACGGAGGCAGGCAGUCGAGGGCAGAGGAAGCAGGCAGAGAGAGGGAGACAGGGAGAAGGAAAGAGAACGUGGAAAGAGACGGAGCGAGUGGAAGAGGAGGCGAGAGCGAGCGCCAGGGAACCGGAGGCCCGCUGGACGCCCGGUCCGCGGGCCCAGCCACCCUCGGACCCUGGACCGUGAGUCAUGGGCACCAGAAGCGAGAUUCGGCCGAGUCCUGCCCCACCAGGUGGCAGUGGACCUACAUCACAGGUUGUAGCAAAUGUUCUCAACAUUUCUAUUGAAAUCUUUAUCUCUGCUUGCAAGAGGAGCCCCAGAGCCUCAUCCCUGUGGGAGUGACUGUCCUCUGAUAUAAGCGUUGUUCACCAGGGAGCUUUGGCAAGAGAACUGGCUAGAUCAGCAAGUCCAUCUCCACUGUGAAAAAGCAACUUGAAGCUCAUCUCUAUUGACGGGAAACUGGCCCUGAGUUUGCAGCAGAGUGUUAUGCAGCACCUCUCACUUCAUCCCUCAGAGAGCAACCUGAAUGAAUUUCACUUUUUAGUGGGUAUUGGAGGUUUUGCCUGAAGCCAAGGAAAAGCCCUAGAUCAGGACAGCAGAGUUUCCUCAGACCAUGAUUUACUGCCCAUGCAUCCUGCUCAGAGCCUGCUCAGCAGCACACGGUGGUGGUUUGACAUCUGGCAUUCACAACUCCUGGGAGACUGGCAUCCUCAUAGACCUGCUCUGAAAGCAUCCCUGCUGUGCUCCUUCUGUCUAAGCGUGAGCACAUCACAGGAAAUGAGCAAGGAAAGACCCAGCUUUUCUGGAAGGAAUCAAGAACCCCUCACCCAGCUGGAAACCCGGAUUUUGGUAUCCAGCUUCAGGAAAUUUGGCCAUUUGUGUAGAUGCUGUUGUCUUGUGGCACCUUAGUCCCUUUCUCCUUUAAACUCCCCACAUGCUGUCCAUAGCCUCUGUUCUGAGUCAUCCAGCUGAGGAAAAUUGCUUCAGGACCUCUAAAUGUGAAAUAAGGGUUGUCUUUCACUGUAGAUUCCUUAGCGCAGCUGGAUUUAGUUAUUUACAGUUGUAAAUUUGGCACUGUAUUUACUGAGGUAGGGGGCUCAGUUUAAAAUAAUUGAAGCAAUCUAAAGCUAAACCUAUAAAUAAUUACAUAUAUUCAUUUCCACUUAUUUUACUAUGAAGAUAAAAAUAUUAAAAUGAUUAAAGAAAUAAGUACAUAACAAGUAAGUUAAGGCACCAAAAUAAAAGUAAGAGGAAAGCCUUUUCACUCUUUCCUUGCUAGUCUUCACAAUUCCGUUUUUUUGCUCCAGCCUAAUGAAUUCACGCACUCUGUCAUCUUACUACUACAAAUAUCAGCUCAGCCCCUGUUUCAGAUCCACUUCAAGGAAACAGACUUGAAAACUCUCCCCCACAGUUUGUCUGAACUGGCUGCCAUUCUGCAGCACACACUGGAUCCAAUUGCUGGAGUGGGGGAGCCCGAGAGGUGAGCGAGCAAGCCAGAGCCAACACUUAGCUGAGUGAGUCAGAUGGACCUGUGUGAAAGGUUGUUGGUGAGCCAGGAAUUAAUGGACAAAAUAGAGGGUCGUUGCUAAUUUUGAUUUUGGGGAAAUCUGAAGGGUUCUUUUGCAUGCCAGCGUAUUUGAAUAUUUGGCAAACAGCUGGCUGGGCUCUGGGAGAGCGUCUCUUGAUUCUCCUCGUCAGAUGUUCAAAGAUAAAAUGAGGCAGCCGGCACGCCAGCACAUAGCUCAUAGCCUUGCAGUCAGUUUUGAAUUUAGAUUUGAAUUGUGAUAUCAAUGUCAUGGUGGCACAUGCUUUGAGAAAGUACUUACAGAGAAUAAUUGAAAGAUUCAGUGUGAAGCUUCUGAAAGCUGUAAUUUAAAGUUCCAGAAGCCUCCAUAUUACUCUCACCAUUAAAAUUUAAAGUGACAGAAGCCCAAUUAUGUAUGGUUAUUUUCUUAAAUAAAAUCAUAUUUCUACCCCAAGUGAAAGAUUCAUUGCUGCCCACUAAUCUCUGUCGGGAGAACCAAUCUCAGUCACGUCCAGUGUCAGCAGCGAAGAUAGUUGCCUUUAUCCUGGGGACAAUGAAGCGACAUCGGGGAAAGCAGAGCUGGAAGGCCUCUUGGAGGAGCCGGACUUGCAGGAGGCUGAUUUGCAUGAUAAUCACCAUUAUGGAUCCUCUCUGGUGCCAGCCUCCACACUUAACCCAAUGCAGUAUGACUUUACCAGCUGCUGAGCAGUCUGAGAAGGGGCUGUAGCACACAUUUUGCAAAAUCUGAAUGUUGUCAAAAACUGCUAGUUAAGAGGGGGCAGCUGGUUGUAAAGCUAAGCCACACGGAGGAAUGGAGACUUGGAACAUAACUUUAAGACCUGAUCAAGGAUAUAACUUUGGAGACUAUUGAAAGAUAUGAAGCUUUUCCCUCUUUUUUUUUUAACUCAAGAUAAUCUGUUUACCAGAACUUCUGUGACCGUUGAAACCAUGCAUGAAAAUAGAUCAGUGGAAGUACAGAAACAUUUCCAGUGCAGAAACUUUAGUCUCUAUUAGUUAAAAGUAUGGAGCUGGGUUUUUAGAUUAUGAAUCUUUCCACUAAUUUCUUUGGUCUGUUUGAUUUUACUUGUACUGCAUUGUGAUUUGGACAAUAUGGUGUAAUGGUAGCCAGAAUUGCAAGGAAAAAUUGCACAGGGCCAGUCAAGCUUAAACUACUGUUGUUUAUGAAAAACUUUAUUCCUUAGGGUUUCCAGAGCCAAAGGGGCAUGUGAAUCAACUAAUAUUAUGAUGCACGAUGUUGAGUGAUAGAGUAUAGAUGCAUCAAUACUAAUCUAAGCAAUGUCUUAUAAAUAAUAAAUCACAUAAUUUCUCAAAAGUUUCACAGUAUGAUAAAACAUUUACAAGUAGGUCUUGGUUUUGCUGACUUUUGUCAUGACUUUAGCACAGCCAGCCCUGUGGCAGUUCG